GAAAACGAGCCGCACCGAGACCGAGCAGCACCACCCCUUUGGCGGAGUUGAAGGUCCCGGCUCAGCAAGACCCCAUCUAUUCCUCCAUUGACGAAGGGAAAGAGACGCAGACCCUGCCCCAGGAGCCUGACCCCGACGGACUCACCUACGCUGAGCUGAACCACCAGGCGCUGCAGGCCAAGCAGAGGGGCCUGGCGCCUGCUCCUGACCCUGUCCAGCCCAGUGUGUACGCCGCGAUCAACGUGAGCCAGGGGAUCCCACAGUGAGAGCCCCACGCAGCCAUGGGGCGUUGGCCCCCAGCAUGUGACAGACUCAGACUCACAGACCUUAAGGCCAGAAGGGUCCAUCGUGAUCAUCUGGUCUGAGCUGCUGCACUUCGCAGGCCAUAGAGCCUCAUCCACCCACUUCUGUAGCGGCCUCCGGCUGAGUCACUGAUGGCCUCAAAUCAUGGGUUAGAAACUUCAAGUUACAGAGAAUCCACCAUUGACACUAGUUUAAACCUGCCAGUGCCCCAGGUUCCAGGCUGCAUAUGAAGGUAAAACACCUGCAGGGUCUCUGCCAACCUGACU